UACGUAGGGUGCAAGCGUUAAUCGGAAUUACUGGGCGUAAAGCGUGCGCAGGCGGUUAUGUAAGACAGGUGUGAAAUCCCCGGGCUCAACCUGGGAACUGCAUUUGUGACUGCAUAGCUAGAGUACGGUAGAGGGGGAUGGAAUUCCGCGUGUAGCAGUGAAAUGCGUAGAUAUGCGGAGGAACACCGAUGGCGAAGGCAAUCCCCUGGACCUGUACUGACGCUCAUGCACGAA
rnacentral:rRNA from 1 species